UCUGGUUCUCGUCUGAUCACCGCAGUUAAGCAGCAUCCGGCGUGGUCAGUACUUAGAUGGGCGACCACCUCGGAACACUGCGUGAUGUU